rnacentral:rRNA from 1 species
GAUGAACGCUGGCGGCGUGCCUAAUACAUGCAAGUCGAGCGAACGGACGCGAAGCUUGCUUCUCUGUUGUUAGCGGCGGGCGGGAGAGUAACACGUGGAUACUCUACCUAUAUGACUGGGAUCACUUCGGGACACCGUAGCUAAUACCGGAUAAUAUUUUGAUCCGCAUGGUUCAAAAGAGAAAGACGGUCUUGCUGUCACUUAUAGAUGGAUCCGCGCUGCUUUGGCGAGUUGGUAAGGUACCGGCUUAUCAAGGCAACGAUGCAUAGCCGACCUGAGAGGGUGAUCGGCCACACUGGAACGGAGACACGGUCCAGACUCCUACGGGAGGCAGCAGUAGGGAAUCUUCCGCAAUGGGCGAAAGCCUGACGGAGCAACGCCGCGUGAGUGAUGAAGGUCUUCGGAUCGUAAAACUCUGUUAUUAGGGAAGAACAUAUGUGUAAGUAACUGUGCACAUCUUGACGGUACCUAAUCAGAAAGCCACGGCUAACUACGUG